GAAAGAGUGGUGGAAUUUUCCAAGCUCAUACCCGUCUUCGUAAGGGUGCUGCUCAGCUCCGUACUUUGGACUUUGCUGAACGCCAUGGUUAUAUUCGUGGUGUCGUCCAAAAGAUCAUUCAUGAUCCUGGUCGUGGCGCUCCUUUGGCUAAGGUUGCCUUUCGUAACCCUUAUCAUUACAGAACCGAUGUUGAGACCUUUGUUGCAACUGAGGGUAUGUACACGGGCCAAUUUGUCUACUGCGGUAAGAACGCUGCUUUGACUGUUGGUAAUGUGCUGCCUGUUGGUGAAAUGCCUGAGGGUACCAUCAUUUCAAACGUUGAGGAAAAGGCUGGUGACCGUGGUGCAUUGGGUCGUUCUUCGGGUAACUAUGUUAUCAUUGUCGGUCAUGAUGUUGACACUGGCAAGACCCGUGUCAAGUUGCCCUCUGGUGCUAAGAAGGUUGUCCCUUCUUCUGCCCGUGGUGUUGUCGGUAUUGUUGCUGGUGGUGGACGUAUUGAUAAGCCUUUACUCAAGGCUGGACGUGCAUUCCACAAGUACCGUGUCAAACGCAACUGCUGGCCUCGUACUCGUGGUGUCGCUAUGAAUCCUGUUGAUCACCCCUCAUGGUGGUGGUAACCAUCAACACGUUGGUCAUUCUACCACUGGUUCCUCGUCAAUCUGCUCCUGGUCAAAAGGUCGGUCUUAUUGCCGCCCGCAGAACAGGUCUUUUGCGUGGNGCUGCUGCUGUCGAAAACUAANC
rnacentral:sRNA from 1 species